GGGGAUUUGGCUCAGUGGUAGAGCGCUUGCCUAGGAAGCGCAAGGUCCUGGGUUCAAUUCCCCAGCCCCG
rfam:Rattus norvegicus chromosome 18, whole genome shotgun sequence.